GAUGAAGAACGCAGCGAAAUGCGAAAAGUAAUGUGAAUUGCAGAAUUCAGUGAAUCAUCGAAUCUUUGAACGCACAUUGCGCCCGCCAGUAUUCUGGCGGGCAUGCCUGUUCGAGCGUCAUUUCAACCAUCAAGCCCCAGGCUUGUGUUGGGGACCUGCGGCUGCCGCAGGCCCUGAAAACCAGUGGCGGGCUCGCUGUCACACCGGGCGUAGUAGAUUUUAUCUCGCUCAGGGCGUGCUGCGGGUUCCGGCCGUUAAAAAGCCUUUUUUACCCAAGGUUGACCUCGGAUCAGGUAGGAAGACCCGCUGAACUUAAGCAUAUCAAUAAGCGGAGGA
rnacentral:misc_RNA from 1 species